UCAGAGAAAUUUGGCAGAGAAGUAACCUUUUGAAAUAAAAUUCUGUACUUGUUGUGGAAGGAUAGAAGGAGGAGGAUGGUGAAGAAAAGACACCAGAUAAGGAGCCUGCCUAACAACAAGACUGCAGAAAAAACCUCCCUACUGCACUGCCUUUCCCAUUCUUAGACAACUCACUCCAUUAAUGCUGGACCACAUCUGGAGCGUGGUCCUGACCCAGCUCCCACUGGAGACCACAGCAGGACUCAGCCUGACUUCCACUGCAGAUGGAUCCAAAGUGGAAUGGGAAUGAGCAGAUCGGUUCUGAAUGCUUAAGGAAUGUAUUGACUCCCAGGCAUCAGUUUUGCACAAAGCAAAAGGGCAAAAGGAAGAUAACAGCAAAAUAAUGAUUGUUGUUUUGAAAAGAAGAGCGCAAUGGGUGAGAGAAGCUGUACUCAUCACCUGGAGUGAAGGCUGACAGGAAUGAACAUAGGCAGGAAGCAGCGUGACACACACAUUGUCAUGCAUGACUGACCAGCAGCCAUCAACAGCAAUUAAACAUUGAGAGCACUGGAUCCUUUUGGACAGGUUCAAGUUUCCUGGCACUGCUGUGAUUAGAUGUUUUGCACUGUUUCCCUGUAGUCAGUAUGUGACACAUUCCCUUUUGCUUGCUCUUUUCUGAUAUUUAUUUUUGCGCUGUCCUGGUGUUAGCAUCUUCUCAUGGAAAAUUAAUCACUUAGAAAGGGAUCAUUUUGAAGGAGACUUGUGAGGUGGGGGAAAGAUAAAAUCGAUAUUAAAAAAAUCAGCUGAGUUUUUAUUUAAACACAAAAUUCCCUGCCUUCAGAUGAACACUGUAGUGUUUGAGUAGCUAUAGGUGUGCAUAAGAGAAAACUCUGUGAACAGCAGAACCCAGCAAAGAACAACACAGGCCUUUGGGUUCACCCAGCUGACUGCAAUUUUACUGUAAUUUAAGACGACAAAACACAAUGCGCUUAAAGGCAAGGCUGAAGUGAAGAGCAGCUGCAGUUGUGCUGGGCUGUCACUCCUUGCCCUCGUUUCAGGGCUGAGAUCCAGAGCAGUCCAACUACCCGUGUUUAACACCGGCCCAGACUUCCAGGGCAAGGUCUGUGGCUUGGCACGAGGAGCCGCAGCUCCGGAGGCUGGGGCGAAAGGCCUUUGGCACGCAGCGAGGUCUCGUGCCUAAUUGAAUAGUCACAGGGUCCAGGGCCAGAAGGGCUCAUUAAGGCUCUAUUCUGACCUCGUGGAUUGUCAUCCUCUCCAUUCCCCCGGAUUGUGUCCAGCAGCUUACACGUGAGUAAUUAAUUGCUUCUGUUAAUUUGCACUCUCCUAGUCUCUGUGAGGACCAGGGAG
rnacentral:lncRNA from 1 species